rnacentral:piRNA from 1 species
UGCCUCCGAGUGCUAGGAUUAAAGGCAUG